UACGUAGGGUCCGAGCGUUGUCCGGAAUUAUUGGGCGUAAAGAGCUCGUAGGCGGCCUGUCGCGUCAAUUGUGAAAGCCCGGGGCUUAACCCCGGGUCUGCAGUCGAUACGGGCAGGCUAGAGUACGGUAGAGGGCGGCGGAAUUCCGGGUGUAGCGGUGAAAUGCGUAGAUAUCCGGAGGAACACCGAUGGCGAAGGCAACCGCCUGGGCCUGUACUGACGCUGAGACACGAAAGCGUGGGGAGCAAACAGG
rnacentral:rRNA from 1 species